CGGUAAUUCCAGCUCCAAUAGCGUAUAUUAAAGUUGUUGUGGUUAAAAAGCUCGUAGUUGAACCUUGGGCCUGGCUGGCCGGUCCGCCUCACCGCGUGUACUGGUCCGGCCGGGCCUUUCCCUUUGUGGAACCCCAUGCCCUUCACUGGGUGUGGCGGGGAAACAGGACUUUUACUUUGAAAAAAUUAGAGUGCUCCAGGCAGGCCUAUGCUCGAAUACAUUAGCAUGGAAUAAUAGAAUAGGACGUGUGGUUCUAUUUUGUUGGUUUCUAGGACCGCCGUAAUGAUUAAUAGGGACAGUCGGGGGCAUCAGUAUUCAAUUGUCAGAGGUGAAAUUCUUGGAUUUAUUGAAGACUAACUACUGCGAAAGCAUUUGCCAAGGAUGUUUUCAUUAAUCAGGAACGAAAGUUAGGGGAUCGAAGACGAUCAGAUACCGUCGUAGUCUUAACCAUAAACUAUGCCGACUAGGGAUCGGACGAUGUUAUUUUUUGACUCGUUCGGCACCUUACGAGAAAUCAAAGUGCUUGGGCUCCAGGGGGAGUAUGGUCGCAAGGCUGAAACUUAAGGAAAUUGACGGAAGGGCACCACCAGGGGUGGAGCCUGCGGCUUAAUUUGACUCAACACGGGGAAACUCACCAGGUCCAGACACAAUGAGGAUUGACAGAUUGAGAGCUCUUUCUUGAUUUUGUGGGUGGUGGUGCAUGGCCGUUCUUAGCUGGUGGAGUGAUUUGUCUGCUUAAUUGCGAUAACGAACGAGACCUUAACCUGCUAAAUAGCCCGUAUUGCUUUGGCAGUACGCUGGCUUCUUAGAGGGACUAUCGGCUCAAGCCGAUGGAAGUUUGAGGCAAUAACAGGUCUGUGAUGCCCUUAGAUGUUCUGGGCCGCACGCGCGCUACACUGACGGAGCCAGCGAGUACCUCCUUGGCCGGAAGGCCCGGGUAAUCUUGUUAAACUCCG
rnacentral:rRNA from 1 species